rnacentral:lncRNA from 1 species
UCUUGCUCUGCCGCCCAGGCUGGAGUGCAGUGGUGCCAUCUCAGCUCACUGUAAUUUCCGCCUCCUGGGUUUAAGCAAUUCUCCUGCCUCAGCCUCCAGAGUAGCUGGGAUUACAGGUGUGUGCCACCACGCCCGGCUAAUUUUUUUGUAUUUUUAGUAAAGACUGGGUUUCACCAUGUUGGCCAGGCUGGUUUCGAACUCCCGACUUCAAGUGACCUGCCCACCUCAGCCUCCCAAAGUGCUAGGAUUACAGGUGUGAGCCACUGCAACUGGCCCGUGAUUCAUAUUUUAACAGUGUUUGGUUGGCUUUAAAUAAAGUGCAUAGCAGGGGUGGGGGAACCCCUCCUUAAUGCUGGGGUUCCUUUCACACAGCCAGUGUUGUCCAGGGGAGCCCAAGUGCACCCUUCUAGACACAGCGCCUCCCUACCCUGGCUCCAAGCAUCAGGGGCCCUCUGAUGGCACCUGGGAUGCUGCCUGGGGCUGACCCUCGACCUCUACCUUUACCCCACAGCAGAGGAGGUUGUUCUGUGGUUCCGGGUAUUUCAAAGGGUCACGCCUUGGUCGGGGCUGGGGCAGUGCAGAGGCAGCUUCCCCAGCAGUGACCACAGGCAGUCAGCCUCCAUCACCCUUUGUUCUGAGCCACUGUGUGCCUGCUGCCCUGAAAGCAGAGGGUGACUGAGUCACAGGUGGGUCCUCAGGACCUAGCAGAAGGGGAGGCAUGCAUGGCGGAGGUCCGACGGGCUUCAGGAGAGAGGAGAGGAAGGCCAGUCGUCCACGCCAGGUCCAAGUCGAAGAAGGAGUGGAAGCUGGACUGCAGAGAGGCCUGAGCUCAAUUUUAAAGUGAAUGAAGCUAAGGGAGUGCGCAGAGACAGGACCAGUAGGGCAGGCUGGGGACGGAGAGCAAGUUCACAGCAGGGGCCAGGUCAGAAGGAGGAACUUGAACUUUAUCCUGAGGCCACAUGGAACAGCUGGAAGGGUCAGAAGUGGGAGGGAGCCAGGAGUGCAGGGUCAGGGGAAGGAAGAGGGGGCCGCCGGCCAUAGGUCCUCCUCCACAGGGCUCCCCAGCAUAGAUUCCCCCCAGACAUAGGAUAGGUACUCUCCCUACGCGGGUCUCACGCCCUGCAGGUUCUCUGCACCUGCAUGCAGGCCCUUCCAGGCGCCCCCCUACGCCAGGCCUGCGUCCCGGCCACCUAAGCCUGAGUAGACAGAGCUGAGGUCUUCAGCCACCGACUUCAAUGACGUAGUGAAUCAGGGCUGGGAACCAAGGCCGUCCCCGCCCUACCCAGCCAGCCCUACAGGCCAAGGUCAGUCUUAGUCGGCUGUGGUUUCCGGUCUGCUGCUGCCCCGCCAGAGCCUGGCUCCCUCCAGCUGGUUUGACCUCAAAAUCUCACCGACUGAGAAGAGCCAUUUCCUGGAGAGUUUCCCCUCCCUACCCCCAUCCCAAGUUUCAGUGUGUGAAUCCCCAGUCCCAAUCCAGCUCUGCUGCUUAUGAGCUGUGUGACCUCGGGGAAUUUACUUCACCUCUCUGUACCCUACUUUCUUCAAGUUUUAGGAAGAUUGAGUACAGGCUGACAGUAAAGACAGCACCCCUUAUUGAGGAUGGUCUUUGUGAUGUGUGAUUAAGUCUUUUGUAUGGAUGAGGAAGUUGAGGGUCAGAUGUUGCUAGUUGGGGAGAGCCCAGAUUUCAGCCUCUCAUCCUGGGCUGGGGCUUUUUCCAAGACUAAACUCUCCUUAUUUAUUUUUUAUUUUAUUUUUAUUUUUUUGAGAUGGAGUUUCACUCUCAUCGCCCAGGCUGCAGUGCAAUGGUGCAACCUUGGCUCACCGCAACCUCUGCCUCCCAGGUUUAAGCGAUUCUCCUGCCUCAGUCUCCCGAGUAGCUGGGAUUGCAGGUGCCUGCCACCGAGCCUAGCUAAUUUUUGUAUUUUAGUAGAGACAGGAUUUUGCGAUGUUAGCCAUGCUGGUCUCAAGCUCCUGACCUCAGGUGAUCCACUCGCCUUAGCCUCCAAAAAUGCUGGGAUUACAGGCAUGAGUCACUGCGUCUAGCCUCCUUUUUUUUAUUUUAAUUUUUGUGGGUACAUAGUAAUUGUAUAUAUUUAUGGGGUACAUGUAAGGGGUACAUGAGGUGUUUUGACACAGGCAUGCAAUGUGAAAUAAGCACAUCAUGGAGAAUGGGGUAUCCAUCCCCUCAAGCAUCUAAACACUCUUUGAUGACCCUUGUGUGAGCUGGUGUUUUUGUUUUUGUUUUGAGACAAGGUCUUGCUCUGUCACCCAGGCCAGAGUGCAGUGGCAUGAUCAUGGCUCACUGCACCCUAGACCUCCUGGGCCCAGGCGAUCCUCCUGCCUCAGCCUCCUUAGUAGCUGGGACUACAGGCAUGCACCACCCCACCUGGCUAAUUUUUAUAUUUUUUUGUAGAAAUGGGGUUUCACCAUGUUGCCCAAUCUGGUCUUAAACUCCUGGGCUCAAGCAAUCCACCCGCCGGGGCCUCCCAAAGUGCUGGGCUGGGAUUACAGGCAUGAGCCACCAUGCCCGACCGUGUGAGCAGGUGUUGAACGAAUAAAGGAAUAGUAACUGCUGGUUGACUUGGUCAUUUUGAACCCCUGGGUCUCUGGAAACUUGUGAGCCAUCUGAGGGCAGCUCUAUCCACCCGUGGGCUGAUUUUCACCCCUGGGGACAGAGACUAGACAGUGGGAUUAGUAAUGGUUAGAGGGUACCUAAAAGGAUGGGAAGAUGCAGGCCAGGAUGGGAAUUAGAGGUGACCUGGGAGGUCAGCACUACAGGGUACAGGAAUGACGCUGUCAAAUUUUCUCCAUCAGAGGGUUCCACCCAUCCUUCAAGGUGUCUCUUCCUUGAAGCCUUCCCUGACCACUUCAUUCUCUUGUUUAAUAAUUCCUGGGACAUGAGAAGCUACAGCUCAGCCCCUGUGAGCUGACUGUACCCUGUGACUGCAUGUGACACAGUCUGACCAUUAUGCAGCAUCAAAUCAUUUCUGGAGAGCUUGCCAAUACAUUAGCUCACUUAACCCUCUUAACAGCCCUGGGACGGAGGAGUUACGUGUUUAUCACCUCGGUUCUAAGGUCCAGAGAAGUUUGAAUGUCUUGCUCACAGGAGCAUUGGCUGAGACUCAAGUUUAGGCUCCCUGGUUCCAAAUCACAUACAUUCUGUUCAUUACAGCACUUUACCUGAGGUUGAGGCUGCCUCUGCGUUCUGGGUGCUUACUUAAAACUCGAAGUUUCCUAGCAGCCAAGGUAAAAAGGGAAACCUGAUGACUUAGAUGGCCCUUCUCUGUCUGAAAUAAAGAAACCUAUCAGUUCAUCUGGAGUUUCAGACAGUAUCCGGUACUUACUUCCAGCAGGAUUGAUUUCAUGGAUUCUGUGUGACAUCCUCACCCAUUGAUUUGCAGGAAGGUAUUAUGUUGAUCCCAUUAGAGGCUAUAGGAAUGAUAUUAGUGAGAACUUGGGGUGGAAUUUCCCGGGGAAAUUGCACUAAGAGAUUCCAGGUGAUUGCCUCCUGCCUUCUUUUCUUUUCUUUUUUUUUUUUUUUUAAUAGAGAUGGGGGUCUCCCUAUGUUGUCCAGGUUGGUCUCGAACUCCUGAGCUCAAGGAAUCCUGCUGCCUCAGCCUCCCAAAGUGCUGGGAAUUACAGGCAUGAGCCACCGCACCCAGCCAUGUUUCCUGGCAUCUAACUUGAUCCAGGGUGCAGCUGAGACAUCAGGGGAGCCAGCAUGUGAAGUGGAAAGAGUUGAAAGAGUGCUGGAGCCACAGAGAGCAAGGUUCAAAUCUUGGCCCUACUGCCAACUGUCCUUAGGCAAUGUAAUAGAACACAGGACUUCCCAGAAUAAAAGCUACAUUUCCUAGGCUCCCUUGAAGCUAAAUGUAGCCAUGGAACUGAGUCUGGGCCAAUGGGAUGUAAGCAGAAGCAACCUCUGGGAAAUACCCUUAAAGAAAGGGGACACAGGCUGGGUGCAGUGGCUCACGCCUGUAAUCCCAGCACUUUGGGAGGUCGAGGUGGGCAGAACACCUGAGGUCGGGAGUUCGAGACCAGCCUGACCAACAUGGAGAAAC